CUCUCUUCUUCGAUAUCGUCGAAGCUCUUCGUCGCUCUCUCUCCUCGUCGUCGAUUCUGUCGCUUAAAUACGUCUCUUAAUUAUAAAUCACAACCAUACUAAUUUGAUUUUCCGACGAGGUUGAUAGAUAAAUUAGGGUUUAUUGUUGGUUUGCGUCUCCUUCCACCUUCAAGGUGACUUGGAGUCUUCCGGUGCCAUUAUUUUAAAACCCAGGUGGUGAUGACAAGCUCUAAAUCGCCAGCUGCUUUCUCAUUUGAAGCCUGUUUAAUUCCAUUGAGGAUUUGCUCAUCAGCUUAAAGAAGCUAGCCAUUCGUCGAGCUGAAAUAAGUGAUCACGACGAACUAGCUGAUCAUUUUGAUCUCAAGUUGCUCCGCGCUCUUGGGCUUGUGCUAAUGGAAUAUGUAAGAAAAAAGGAUACUUCCCUUGUCCCAAGUGCUGGUCAUCAACUGAUGGGUUUGGAUAACUGCACUCUGUUGAAAACUCAUGUCGAUGAUACAACAAUAGACAUUGUGACUGGAAUCUUCAACAUCAAAAAGAAAAAGAAGAAGAAGAGAAAACCAAUAAGACUAAGAAGUAAAUCUCUCAAAAUGUUGGUUGGUUGGUUAUUCCAAUCACUACUUGGAUCUACUUUUUUCCUUACUAGCUAAAAUUGUAUGCCUUGGUUUCGUGUUUGAAGGAGGCGUUAUAAGUAGCUGCAUAGUUAGCAGCUUCUUUGGCCAAGCAAGUAGCUUACUUUGUGCUGUCUUGUGGCAGAUUUUAAAAGUUGCAUCUUUCAUAGUAAAGGCAUGGUGAUUUUAUCUUGUGCGGACACAAACAAAAGUAUCAAGAAGAUUCAUUAUAGCAAACCCCCAAUGGUUAAGAAACCAAGUGGUGGGGCAAAGAAGAAAAGCAAAGGUCACGAGUGUCCAAUUUGCUUUAGGGUGUUUAAAUCAGGACAAGCUUUAGGUGGUCACAAGAGAUGGGAGUCAAGAUCACAUGACUUUGGUGAUUCAACAACACCACCAAGUAGCUCAUGAGAUGUUCUAUCUCAGUCUUCCUCCUCCUAUUGAUUAGUGAAUGAAUCAGUGAUCAAAUUUUUUGUUCUCAUUGUUAUUAUUUCCUCUGUUUUCAUUU